GCAUGAAAACAGCCGAAUCUCCAAAAGGAGUACGGGGGACUAUUUUUUAGGGGUGAAUCUCAGAUUUUGAGUAGGGUGACCUCAACCCAAACCCGUCAACUAACCUCGGAGGCACAAGGAGGUAAUAU
rnacentral:sRNA from 2 species